CCUACGGGGGGCAGCAGUGGGGGAUAUUGCACAAUGGGGGGAACCCUGAUGCAGCGACGCCGCGUGAAGGAAGAAGUAUCUCGGUAUGUAAACUUCUAUCAGCAGGGAAGAAAAUGACGGUACCUGACUAAGAAGCCCCGGCUAACUACGUGCCAGCAGCCGCGGUAAUACGUAGGGGGCGAGCGUUGUCCGGAAUUACUGGGCGUAAAGAGAGCGUAGGCGGCACUACAAGUCUCAUGUGAAAUACCCGGGCUUAACUUGGGGGUUGCAUGGGAAACUGUAGAGCUUGAGUACAGGAGAGGCAA
rnacentral:rRNA from 1 species